rnacentral:pre_miRNA from 1 species
AAUAAGUGCAGUUUUGCACUAUUUACGUUCAAUGUUUGACUGUUCGUCUUAUUUGAAAAAAAAUUAUGAUUAGUAUUUGUAUUGCUAUUAGAUGAUAAAACAUGAAUAGUACUCUAUGUGUGACUAAAUAUCUUCAAAUUUUUCAAAUAAGACGGACGGUCAAACGUUGGGCACGGAUAUCCACGGCUGCACUUAUU